rnacentral:lncRNA from 1 species
ACAAUGCUCCUACACGUGCGGCCACCCUCAUCGUGUUAUGCCCCUGCAAGCCAGUAAGGGCACGCAGCGAAAUUAUUGGUGACUUAAGACCCUGACUUGUUAGAUGAUGCAUUGCCAAUAUAUGAAUGACUCACUACCGUUUUUGUAGGAGAAGAGGAGUACCUGGAGUUGAUCGAUGUGUUGGUCAAAGGUCGAGGUGAA